UUUAGUGACCAUCAAGUACAAGGUAUUGUUUUAUUAUUACAGAGAAAAAAGCAAAUCCUUUUUUAAACUUAUACCUGUAUCCGUUUGCUUUGACCCAUUCUACAAACACCCAGCCUAAUAGGCUCGUGUACUUACUUAUGUUUACAGGAAGCUGAACGGCUUGUAUGUUAUUUCUAUGGUCCUGGUGCAAUUGGCAUAAUUCCUGGUGCCGGAAAUGGCAUUAUUUUGGGGUUUAUUACACACACGUCAGUUUAGAUGCUCUCAGAUGCAAAUGGAGCACUAGAAAAUGACCUCUGCUAAAGGCAAGUGUUAACUCCAGGGCUCCCUUUGCAUCUGUGCGCCUUGUACUAGGCACCUAGCAUACAAUCCAUCAUGUCUUUGCAUUCUUGUUGCAGUAAAACAGAUGUUUCGAUGCAAGGAGCAUAUAUAGUUAUUGAAAAUAGUGUUCAAAUGCCCCCACAGGUUGCACUUGUAUUUGUACAUAAGCUUGUAUAUGAUCUAUCUCAGAUCACCAAACCCAUCUUAAGAAUCUAAAUGUUUUGUUGCUUAUCUUUUGAGUCAUCUUGCCCUACCCUAUUCAUUGUCACUCAUUAUGGCAAGCAAUGUCUGGUUUUAUAUAAAAGUGUGCUUGGAAAGGCAAACAGACACAGAGGGGCUGUUUCUCAGACUGCACUUAUACGCAGGGGCCAGGAGACAGCCCAGUUGACUGUAGUAUGUAUAGAUACUAAUAGAUAUUUUAUAUGAAAGGGUAACACAUGGACAACAUGCCCCCUACUGUAAUUUAUAAUUUAUAUAGCCUUGCACUUCCAUACAGGUCAAGAACCUCCUCAGUGAGUUUUUUCUCAUUGAAUUGCAUCUGGCUCUAUGAAAAAAUCUUGAAUUGAAUCAGGAGAUAAGCUUUUCUCAUUAAUUAAUAUUAAUUCAAUAAGGAAAUGAUCUCAUUGUUUAUGGAACUUUAUUUAAGAGAAAAGUUUUUUCUUUUUAAAUUAAACCUCACCCAUAGGUUUAAAUGUGAUAAACCAUAAAAUAUAAUUUUGUAAUGGAACAAAAUCUGGCUCUUUCAAGGUCCAACCAUGAUGCAGCAGGAAGUCCAUUAUCCGAUCCCUGUGUCUGAUAGCUUGAUCCCUAAAGGAUGCAAGUAAUAUCAAGUUAUCUAGGAAGUAAACAGAUAAAUUCCUUGCCAACGAAGACAUGUCACCGGGACCUUCAAGAAGGCCCUCAAAGCUGUUAGUAGACAAAAGGCCAAACAUCAAAACUUCACCUCAGUUGCCACACUAAGCUCUUUAGCUCUAGCUCAUCAGUGAGAGAGCACUCAAAACUUUACAAUAUGUUGCCUCAAGGAAGACAUAAAAGGACAAUUUCUGCUAAAUGUCUAAACACAUAUAAAUGCAUAUUCGGGCAUAUACAUAUUCAAGGUUGAUAGGGUUUUGGAUAGGACACUUACAUGCUAUAGUUAAACAUAUCUUAAGCAUUCAAUCUGAAGGUAUAGUCUUCUUCAGGAUAAGCUUAUGCAUGCCUUUGAAUAUUCUUCACAUGACUAUAGACACCACAACAUAUUAGAGGAGCAAGGAAUGGAGUGCUAGCCUAUGCUAAACAGUAUGUUCAGUAUGUUCUAUAUUAAGACCAGUUAUUAUGUAUGCAUGUGUCAGGGCCAUAAGAUACUGCUUUCUGGCAGGAUACACUGACCAACCCCAGAGCCCCAGCUAUGAAUAAAUAAAUACACUGUAUCAUUAGAUUGGAAUAAGAAGCCCAAUGCUUGGCCAUAUAUACAUGCAACAAUGGCUCAGAGUCACAAGGCUGCUGAGUUUGGGUAGUCUUGAAGUCAAGGGCCCAAAGACUGUACCUAAUAAAUACCCGCAGUUUCAUUACUAAUUAAGCAAUCCUUCAACCAGUCAGGAUUCAGAAAUCCCUGCUGUGUGAACCAGAGACAAUAAGCUGAACCUGGAUAAAACUUCCCUAGAAACCCUACCAUAAAAAAUGAUUGCUUGAUUGAUUAAAAAAGUCCUUAUCCAAGGAACAUUGUAUUCAUCUAAAAUGUGUAAUAAGCAUUUAGAUGCAGUAGUGUUAGACACUGAUAUAGUGAAGCCAUAUAAUCACAGCAAUACAUAAUAAAUAGUUGCUGCUUAGUAUUCCUACGUAGUGACUGGAGUUAGCAAGGCAGUAUCAGAUAUUUACCCAGAAGCCCAGUGACCUACAUCGAUUAGGGCUACUGGUUUCAGGCAGUUCUGAACAUUGAGCGAGGUGCUUGUGGGUCUCUUGCUGCGCUCGAUCUCUCUGGGAAGCCUGAUAGUUUUUGUUCAUAUUUUGACAAAGGCACAAUCUUUAAAGGAUGCUUUGUGAUACAAAUGUUUGCUGUACAUGUACUGCAUUGCUUUCAGGGGCACUAGGUGCUGUGGUCUCUCUCUUGCCCUUUUUACUCGGUCAUGUAAACAUGAGGUGGGCUUAUCUAUUAUUCCCCAGGUGUCAAGGGCUCUAAGGGCACAAGAACGCACCCUGUUAGUGCUCAUCCAACAAGCUCUGGCCCUGAGAAUACUGUUCCCUCCUUCUCAUGUCAGACUGAAAGUCCAGCACAAGGAGCUGACAAAACACUCCUAGUACUGAAUAACCUUAGUUAACAUCACUCAAAUACCUGAACUGCCAUCACAGUUCCUUAUAUCUCUAAAAUAUGUUUAUGCCAAGAUGCGUACAGAACAACAAUGCGAUGUAAGGAAUUUUAUCUAAGAAUGGAAAUGUCAUCUAAACUUUUUAGAAUAUUUUCGACAUUUUAGUAUUGGACUUCCUCUAACUAAUAGACCAUGUUAUAAAUUAAUAUUUUAUAUCCUGUUUCCUGGUAUGGAAUCAGAUCGUUUUGCAGUAUAUAUAUAAGUGCCAGAACCCAACGGAAACACAGCGCAGAUAAAAGACUCUGAGACAGAGAGAGAAUUUAUCACACAGAGUAAAGAUGAAGGCGGCCGCUCUACUGAUUCUAAUGGGAUUUACUGUUUAUGCUGAAGCCUUGAUGUGUUUGCAGGGCUCCUGUGAUUCGAAGGCUGCGUGUAUCUUUAAGCCAGUUGACUGUUCCCCAGGCACUUGCUGCGUUACUAUGAGUCAAGGCUCCUCCACCAGCAAAGGAUGUGCUUUGGAGAAAUUAUGCUAUGCGUUCCAGAGCCAGAACCCAUCAGUGAGAUGCUGUUCAUCUAGUUUUUGCAACAUGUAAUAAUAUGUAUACAUGAAAACACUGUUCUAGCAAUUCUGCUGUGGUAUCUUGUGAUGCACAGUGUGGACACGUGUUUGUGCUGCAAAAAUAAAAUGGCUAAUCCCAAUAUGUGUCAACAAAUGUCUAAUAAAAUGGACCAUUUAAAUCA